CCACCGAAUCAGCUUUGAUUAAUUAAAUAAAGUGUUUGGUCAGACCACCCAGGGCAGAUGAACAAUCUUAUGGUGCUGUUAACAAUAAAUUUUCAGCUGUAGUUUUUUGUUGUUUUUUUCUUCACACAUUUCUUGCUUUGUUUCUUAUAAAGAAGCUAUAGAAACAAAUAUAUGUUGCAGAAAGAUCUUUAAUGAUUUAGUCUGAAAACAAACAAUUUUACAUCUAUACAUCUCAACACAAAAAAACACGUUUGCUCAUGUCUCUCGAAUUUGGCAUUUGGUGCGAGACAGUGGCUCAAUUAUUAGCACCAGUCGUAAAGGCAACAAUAAAGAUCAUUAUGUCCACAAUUGGGUAAUAAAUGAACACAGAAAGAGCCACAGAUUUCUCUACAAGUUCUAUACAUCCUCAAACCCUUGUGUGUUAAUUUCUUAAAUAUUUUGGCUAAUUUGCUUUCAGCAAAUCACAAUUCCGUUUUACACUUUUUACGAACAAAA